rnacentral:rRNA from 1 species
GAGACUCUGUGCGCGUGCAUAUCAAUAAGCGGAGGAAAAGAAACUAACUAGGAUUCCCUCAGUAACGGCGAGUGAAGCGGGAAGAGCUCAAAUUUGAAAUCUUCAAGGUUCUACCUUGACGAAUUGUAGUUUAAAGAAGUGUUUUCUGUUGGAGUUUUGGUAAAAGUUCUUUGGAAUAGGACAUCAUAGAGGGUGAGAAUCCCGUAUUUGACCAUUAUUUCCAACUUUGUGAUACACUUUCAAAGAGUCGGAUUGUUUGGGAAUGCAGUCCAAAAUGGGUGGUAAAUUUCAUCUAAAGCUAAAUAUUGGCGAGAGACCGAUAGCGAACAAGUACCGUGAGGGAAAGAUGAAUAGAACUUUGAAAAGAGAGUUAAACAGUACGUGAAAUUGUCAAAAGGGAAGCGUUUGACACCAGCGUUGUUUUUCUCGAAAAUCAAUUACAAAUGAUUUGGAUUUUUGAUAGUUAUGACUUCAUCAGCUUGCUGCACUUUCUUUAUUAUCUUUCUUAAUGCACUUUUCGUUUAACAAGUCAACAUCAAUUUCUUUUGUUGUAAAAGAGUCAUUGGAAGGUGGCUUUCUUUUCGGAGAAAGUGUUUAUAGCCUUUGGCUUCUGCAAUCGGAGAGAUUGAGGUCUGCAGCGUAGAUCCUUCGGGGUUAGAUGCAUUUGUGCUAAGUUAUAGCUUUUCAUAGACAACUUGUUGACUAUGUUUAGUCUUGUAGCUUACUCGCUUAUGCUAUUUUACCUACGCUUAGGAUGUUGAGUCGUAGAGCACGCAG